rnacentral:rRNA from 1 species
UACGAAGGGGGCUAGCGUUGUUCGGAAUUACUGGGCGUAAAGCGCGUGUAGGUGGCACGCUAAGUCUGCUGUGAAAGCUCCUCGCUUAACGGGGAGAGGUCGGUGGAAACUAGCGAGCUAGAGGACGGUAGAGGAGAGUGGAAUUCCCGGUGUAGUGGAUGAAAUGCGUAGAUAAUCGGGAGGAACACCAGUGGCGAAGGCGGCUCUCUGGGCCGCUCCUGACGCUGAGACGCGAAGGCCAGGUAGCGGAACGGGAUU